rnacentral:rRNA from 1 species
UGCAAGGUUAAGCAGUAAAUGUGGAGCCGUAGCGAAAGCGAGUCUGAAUAGGGCGUUUAGUAUUUGGUCGUAGACCCGAAACCAGGUGAUCUACCCUUGGUCAGGUUGAAGUUCAGGUAACACUGAAUGGAGGACCGAACCGACUUACGUUGAAAAGUGAGCGGAUGAACUGAGGGUAGCGGAGAAAUUCCAAUCGAACCUGGAGAUAGCUGGUUCUCUCCGAAAUAGCUUUAGGGCUAGCCUCAAGUGAUGAUUAUUGGAGGUAGAGCACUGUUUGGACGAGGGGCCCCUCUCGGGUUACCGAAUUCAGACAAACUCCGAAUGCCAAUUAAUUUAACUUGGGAGUCAGAACAUGGGUGAUAAGGUCCGUGUUCGAAAGGGAAACAGCCCAGACCACCAGCUAAGGUCCCAAAAUAUAUGUUAAGUGGAAAAGGAUGUGGCGUUGCCCAGACAACUAGGAUGUUGGCUUAGAAGCAGCCAUCAUUUAAAGAGUGCGUAAUAGCUCACUAGUCGAGUGACACUGCGCCGAAAAUGUACCGGGGCUAAACAUAUUACCGAAGCUGUGGAUUGUCCUUUGGACAAUGGUAGGAGAGCGUUCUAAGGGCGUUGAAGCAUGAUCGCAAGGACAUGUGGAGCGCUUAGAAGUGAGAAUGCCGGUGUGAGUAGCGAAAGACGGGUGAGAAUCCCGUCCACCGAUUGACUAAGGUUUCCAGAGGAAGGCUCGUCCGCUCUGGGUUAGUCGGGUCCUAAGCUGAGGCCGACAGGCGUAGGCGAUGGAUAACAGGUUGAUAUUCCUGUACCACCUAUAAUCGUUUUAAUCGAUGGGGGGACGCAGUAGGAUAGGCGAAGCGUGCGAUUGGAUUGCACGUCUAAGCAGUAAGGCUGAGUAUUAGGCAAAUCCGGUACUCGUUAAGGCUGAGCUGUGAUGGGGAGAAGACAUUGUGUCUUCGAGUCGUUGAUUUCACACUGCCGAGAAAAGCCUCUAGAUAGAAAAUAGGUGCCCGUACCGCAAACCGACACAGGUAGUCAAGAUGAGAAUUCUAAGGUGAGCGAGCGAACUCUCGUUAAGGAACUCGGCAAAAUGACCCCGUAACUUCGGGAGAAGGGGUGCUCUUUAGGGUUAACGCCCAGAAGAGCCGCAGUGAAUAGGCCCAAGCGACUGUUUAUCAAAAACACAGGUCUCUGCUAAACCGUAAGGUGAUGUAUAGGGGCUGACGCCUGCCCGGUGCUGGAAGGUUAAGAGGAGUGGUUAGCUUCUGCGAAGCUACGAAUCGAAGCCCCAGUAAACGGCGGCCGUAACUAUAACGGUCCUAAGGUAGCGAAAUUCCUUGUCGGGUAAGUUCCGACCCGCACGAAAGGCGUAACGAUUUGGGCACUGUCUCAACGAGAGACUCGGUGAAAUCAUAGUACCUGUGAAGAUGCAGGUUACCCGCGACAGGACGGAAAGACCCCGUGGAGCUUUACUGUAGCCUGAUAUUGAAAUUCGGCACAGCUUGUACAGGAUAGGUAGGAGCCUUUGAAACGUGAGCGCUAGCUUACGUGGAGGCGCUGGUGGGAUACUACCCUAGCUGUGUUGGCUUUCUAACCCGCACCACUUAUCGUGGUGGGAGACAGUGUCAGGCGGGCAGUUUGACUGGGGCGGUCGCCUCCUAAAAGGUAACGGAGGCGCUCAAAGGUUCCCUCAGAAUGGUUGGAAAUCAUUCAUAGAGUGUAAAGGCAUAAGGGAGCUUGACUGCGAGACCUACAAGUCGAGCAGGGUCGAAAGACGGACUUAGUGAUCCGGUGGUUCCGCAUGGAAGGGCCAUCGCUCAACGGAUAAAAGCUACCCCGGGGAUAACAGGCUUAUCUCCCCCAAGAGUUCACAUCGACGGGGAGGUUUGGCACCUCGAUGUCGGCUCAUCGCAUCCUGGGGCUGUAGUCGGUCCCAAGGGUUGGGCUGUUCGCCCAUUAAAGCGGUACGCGAGCUGGGUUCAGAACGUCGUGAGACAGUUCGGUCCCUAUCCGUCGUGGGCGUAGGAAAUUUGAGAGGAGCUGUCCUUAGUACGAGAGGACCGGGAUGGACAUACCUCUGGUGUACCAGUUGUCGUGCCAACGGCAUAGCUGGGUAGCUAUGUGUGGACGGGAUAAGUGCUGAAAGCAUCUAAGCAUGAAGCCCCCCUCAAGAUGAGAUUUCCCAACUUCGGUUAUAAGAUCCCUCAAAGAUGAUGAGGUUAAUAGGUUCGAGGUGGAAGCAUGGUGACAUGUGGAGCUGACGAAUACUAAUCGAUCGAAGACUUAAUCAA